rnacentral:rRNA from 1 species
CAAUAGCGUAUAUUAAAGUUGUUGCAGUUAAAAAGCUCGUAGCUGGAUCUGCCAGUCGUGGGCGCGUCGGUCUCCGCCGUGAGGUGGAGUUCACUGACCGUCCGCGUCGUUUACAUCGAUUGUCGUCUAGCGUGGCUUCCGAGCCGUGUCUGGUCGACUAGUUUACCUUGAGAAAAUUAGAGUGUUCAAAGCAGGAUCUGUUUAAUGUGUCCGCAUACAAUGAGCAUGGUAUAAGUGAAGAUGGCUUCGGUUCGCACUACGUUUGUUGGUUUAAAGUGCCGAAGCAAUGACUGAAAGGGGCAGUUGGGGACAUCCGUAUUUCGUAGUCAGAGGUGAAAUUCUUGGACCUACGAAAGACGCACUACAGCGAAAGCAUUUGUCAAGAAUGCUUUCUUCAGUCAAGAACGAAAGUUUGAGGAUCGAAGACGAUCAGAUACCAU